ACAUCACCUCUCUCUGACGUCCACCGCCGGAUCAUAAUUGGGGAUUCUCAGGUAAAGUUUAAAAAAAUAAAUAAUAACUGUUGAUUUUUUAUUGGCUUUGAGACAUUUUCAUUAAGGCAGAUAUCCACUUUUUAUCCACAACGGCUCGCAAUCAUUGAAAACAGUGUGGGAAUCCCAUCCACCGAGAGCUGUGCGGAGCAAAAGCAUCCAAGAGUAUCUGUAUGGUUAGCUCGAUAGCAAAAUCAGGGAAAGCAAGUUGAAGGUGACGCCCACGAGGCCAGGAGGACCUAAAACAACAACCUAAGCGGUUGUUGCCAGAUAAGAAAUAAUAGGAAAAAGGGGUGAACGUUGUCACUUUGAAGGAAAAAAAAACUAUCAUCGAAUUUGUGGAGAGACAAAUUUUGUGUGACUAGGACAGCCACAUAUGUAGUUGUACAGAUACAUCUGUUUCAACCUGAUCAGGUUAUUUGGGAGCUAUACAAAAUUAUUAUGCAUACUUUGUCCAAUUUUUGUACGAAUGGUCAAAACAUAUGGUGGACGAUGAGUACUCUCAUAUGUGUUUCACAUUGGUGAGUGACAUCUUUCUAACAGGGUGAUGAGACAAUUCGAUUUUCAACUGGAUGUCCCAUCGCCUUGUAAUACUAAACCCCUACUGCAUGAUAUUGACUUAAGGACUGGAGAUUGAUCCGGAUGUCACUCAAGACUAUAUUCAUUGGUAUAAUAAUAUCACAAGGCGCUACGUCACUCGUCCGGAGCAGCUGUGGGUCAUAUGAGAUCGAACAACCGUAGACUCCGUGAUGUUGCGAAUGAUCCAAACCAGGUUCUUGCUAUAUGUAGUGACAACCAAAGCUAUAUGGAGGAGAUACAUUAUAUAUACGAUAUACCUAUUGUUUCUCCACCAACCCCUAGACGUAGAGGACCUAUACGAGAAAAAUAUUAGUUUGAUGAGGUUGCCCAUAAUGUGAAAGAUUUGCCCUUGUGAUGCAGACGCAAAGUCAAACUAAUUAUGUUAGCCCAAUGAUGAUUAUGCCAGCAUUUGGUUCAGGACAUUAUGACUGAGGCUGUUCUUUCGUCUUCAUACGUGCAUGGACACGGUCGGGGUUGUGGAGAGCAUAAUGAAUAUUCAUAUCAUGAAGUGUCUGCAAAGGUACCAGAGCAACAUCAAGAAGAACCAGAGCAACCUCAAAUUCGAAGUCGACGACGACAACCAACUCGAAAUCGAUGACGUCCGUCUUGUGGGACACAUUAAUUUUUGUAAUUAUUUUUAAUA